UAUUAUUUAAAAUGUAAUUAAAUUUAUUAAAGUAGUAAUAGUUAUGUUCUUGAAACUUAAAAAAUUUGGCGGUAUUUUAAUCUCUCCAGAGGAACCUGUUUUGUAAUCGAUAAUCCACGAUGGACCUUACUUAAGUUUGUAAUCAGUUUAUAUACCGUCGUUAUCAGAAUAUUUUAUAAGAAUAAUAAUAUUCAAUAAUUUUUAAAAAAAUUUAUAUCAGAUCAAGGUGUAGCUUAUAUUUAAGUAAUAAUGGGUUACAAUAAAUUUAUUUAAACGGAUAAAAUUAUGAAAAAAUUUUUGAAGGUGGAUUUGGUAGUAAAAUUAUAUAGAUAAAUAAUUUGAUUUUAGCUCUAAAAUAUGUACACAUCGCCCGUCGCUCUUAUUAUUAAGGUAAGAUAAGUCGUAACAUAGUAGAUGUACUGGAAAGUGUAUCUAGAAUGA
rnacentral:rRNA from 1 species